rnacentral:rRNA from 2 species
UGGGGAAUAUUGCGCAAUGGGCGAAAGCCUGACGCAGCGACGCCGCGUGAGGGAUGAAGGUUUUCGGAUCGUAAACCUCUGUCAGAAGGGAAGAAACUACGUUGUGCUAAUCAGCAGCGUACUGACGGUACCUUCAAAGGAAGCACCGGCUAACUCCGUGCCAGCAGCCGCGGUAAUACGGAGGGUGCAAGCGUUAAUCGGAAUUACUGGGCGUAAAGCGCACGUAGGCUGUAGUGUAAGUCAGGGGUGAAAUCCCACGGCUCAACCGUGGAACUGCCUUUGAUACUGCACAACUUGAAUCCGGGAGAGGGUGGCGGAAUUCCAGGUGUAGGAGUGAAAUCCGUAGAUAUCUGGAGGAACAUCAGUGGCGAAGGCGGCCACCUGGACCGGUAUUGACGCUGAGGUGCGAAAGCGUGGGGAGCAAACAG